rnacentral:rRNA from 1 species
UACGGAAGGGGGCUAGCGUUUGUUCGGAAUUACUGGGCGUAAAGCGCGCGUAGGCGGUUUUCCAAGUCGGGCGUGAAACGCCCCGGGCUCAACCCGGGAAAUGCGCUCGAAACUUGAAGACUGGAGGCCGGAAGAGGGUAGUGGAAUUCCCAGUGUAGAGGUGAAAAUUCGUAGAUAUUGGGAAGAACACCAGUGGCGAAGGCGGCUACCUGGUCCGGAUCUGACGCUGAGGCGCGAAAGCGUGGGGAGCAAACAGG